UCCAAAUAAAGGGAUUUCUUUGACACUGAACGUUUGAACUUAUCCUUCUUUAUUAUAGAUGAAUUAGCAGAGUAAUAUUUUUCCAUAACAAUUGGUGUCAGAAGUGGGAUAGCUGAAGAUCCGCCAUAUGACACUCGAAGGCGUCGGACAGGUUAGCCACCAAGAAUCCACAAUCUAGGGGUUCUCCUCUACCUCACUGAAAAUCUUAAGAGACGAGAGGGUCUGACGCCUGGAGUGAAACUGGUCGACUUCACGUCUGUUCCAACGAAUCAAUACUCUACUUCCUCGUCUGAAGGGUGAGACGUAUUUUUACCAAUUAUUCAAUAGAAGCAUUUGCUUAUUAAUGGAAUUGGGGGGAAAAAAAACAUAAAACAUUUAAUUAAAUUAAGUGUAGUAUGUAGGUCAUGUCUGUCUACUGGGGCUGACUGUCAGUAGGAGCCUGUGGUAAAGAAGUCUGGUAUUAAAGUCAGACUUGACGUGGUUAGGUUCACAGGGUUUUUAAUCCACUUGUACCUUAGAAACAACGUGUGAUAGGCACAGGGACGCCUGUGUUCAAUAUCGUUAAAUCAGGAAACGUGGCAGUGCGGCGUCACGGCGUUUCAUGUUUCGGCUGAUUUAAUGGAUAAAAGGGUAAAGUGUUUGAGAACGCAGUCAACCAGUUGACAUAACAACUAACACUUUUAACUACGCAAUUGAGCACUCACUAGGGCCUUGGUGGGAGGUUAACUGGUUACUUGUUCGGUGUCCUUUGCUUUGUGCCCAACCACGCGGCCGCGCCGGAUAGCAUCCGUGGGAUCUUCCUACGGAGGGUCGCCGGGACUAGUCAGACCAGGAUUUGGCUAUGGGCAAUGAGCAAAGCAAAGGCGUACAGGUUCCGACAGGCCUUUAGUGGAGGACAGGACUAAAAAAUAUGGUCUUGAAAGCGUUCAGUGUCUAACGGUCUGGACAAGCCCAUUUGGCUUUCUUAAGGGGGUUCUUUGAGUCAAAAUCCGCUGAAACAAUUAGACCAGGGAAAACAAAAAAGAGCUCGAUUUUCUACUUGUUUUUUCAAAUUUUCUUAUUAUUCUAUGGUUGAUAAUUUUGUGGGGGUAAAACUCAUGACACUGUGAAUCUUGUUGUCGGUCAAAGUCGAUGCCGACUGAUUAAUUUCUUUAUCGUAGGGAAUUAAUUAUUUUGUUGUAGUUUCGCAGCGACGUAAACGUAAGUUGGGGAUGCCCAACGCCAGGUAAAGCACAGUAUUUGACAAUUUUGUCAUUUUAAAGUUUUUGCGGCCCAGAUGUUCGUGUCUGGAAGAUUAAUGUUCCAAGGGGAACAUUAAUAAGUAUUUUUAGGAAUGUUGCGUUUUUGUGUUAUUUAACAAAAAUUCAGUUGCGGUAACCCAGACUGAGGUCUGUCCCUGUUAGAUGGGAAAUGCAAAUUUUAAGUCCCGCCACCGGAUUGUGACGGGCCAAGAUUCAAAUGCAUGAGUAAUAAUAAAUAUGGGCUAGAUGUUUUAAAAUGCCAGUCAGUGAUCAAAAAGGCUUGGCACGCUGUGGGACCUAAGUCCUAUUAGCUCUGUGAACGAGGACGCACAACAGACAUGUGAGGAGUUGAUUUUGUGAACAGUGGUUGAAUUGAGGGUGGUUGAAUUGUAGUUGAAACAUGAGAGGUGCAAUGUAAUCAUAAGAUCUCUGGCCAGGAUAAUUUUUUUUUUUUUUUUUUUUUUUAAUAAGGGUGGUAUGCCAUUGAAAACAAAAAUCAAUGUGUAAAAAAAAAAUGUCUGACAGUGAGCACAACAUUGGUUUGGUGAAAUACAUUUUGACUGGUUCACCACUGGCUACUGUAGAAAGGAUGGGUUUAUCAGAUAAUUUUCGUCAAAGUAAACCCCCUUUUCCCAAUAAAACUAAACUUGUAGUUUCUGAAUCUACCAAGAAGUUGUUUACCAAAAAAAAAACCCUAAAGAUAUCAUUGACAACUGUUUAAAACAUGUGAGUGUGUGUGCUUGGCGUAGGUGUGUGACAUCAGUAUAGACAGCUGAUGUGCAGAUGCAGAAUCUGGGUUAGUAAGCAUGUGUAUGACUUCUGCUCCAGGGGAGGGGAAGGAGAGGAGAGAGACAUAUGCAGGUGUAGGUGUGUCACAGCCUAGUUGGUUUGGAACCGUUGUUGCCUGUAUCCUCCAGGUCGUUGCUGCCGGCGACCAAACGCUGUUGUCUGUUGUAUCUGUCUCAUCCACAUCUCCUCAUCUUGGCCUCCGUAUUGCCCCUAAAAUCUGAUUAUCGCCCAAAGUAUUUUGUUGUGUUGUGUCAUGUCUGUGAUAAGUGUUUAUAAAUGUUUGUGUUGUAUGUUUGUGGCUUUAGUGUUCUUGUUGUGUGCGUAUGGUACCGGUACAAGGGUUUGUGUGGAUUUUGGGUGCUGGCUCAAACUUGAGGUGAUAUUCAGAGUUGCCAGAUUAAUGCUUGUGGUUUUGAUUUCACUGUGGAAAUAGUGUUUUAAGUGUACUUUAUAUUUGAUAGAGCACCUAUAUACUAAAGGAUACAGUAUAGGAAAGCAUGUGAAUCUGAAUUUGUUGUGACAAUGUAAAGAUGCCGAUGGGCCUAAAUGUUUAUAGGAGUGACCCAGGAUCUCCUGUUUACCAUUUUCUUCAUAUUUUCUUACUUAACAUUUGUGUUUUGUGACUGUGACACCUGCUUAGAUGUGACUAAUUGUGUUUUGCGUAUAACACUACAAUGACAUGAUGAACUUCCUCUACAGAUCCCGUGUCUUUCAGCAGAGCCAAGGGCCGCGAAGGACGCCUCUCACUCCUCCUCUCCAUUCCUCUCCUUCCUCCUCUCCCUUCUUCUCAGUCUCACUCUCAUACACACUCCACUCACACACCACUCACAGCCCCUCCUCUCUUGACUCUCUCUUGUUUCUCCAAAUGUUCUUUUUCCUCCUAACAGGUCAGCCUGAAAAGCUGUUGGUGAAAUUGACCCAUGGGUGUGACCAAGUGUCAAAAGGGGGGACCUAAAGCACUAAAACCACACUGGUGCUCUGUAGGGUAUGCGCAUGCGAACCUGUGACAGACAUAGUCAUUUGAGAUUCUGCUCCGAAUCUCCAAACCCUUUCCUACGUCUCAUUUCAAACAUGAUAUGCUCUCUUGUGCUGCUUUCUCUCCCAUCCUCAAAAAGAUUUGUCAACAGGUAGCUGUGGCCCUGUCCAUUCCAGCCUCAGGUCCACUUCACAGCCUUCAACCAGGUGACUUCAUGCUGGUCAAAGACUUCAGGAGGUCGAACAAGCCACGAGGGUUCACGUCAGUCGCUGCCAAAAGGUCAUCUCUGCAUCACCCGCCUAAAAGGUGCAUGGCCUACGUCAACAUCCAACGAGGUAGACCAGGACGAGAAGUGGAUGACAUCAGUGGUAAAACCAAAACCACCAACGAACAGAUGGUGAAUUAAAACGCUCUGUUCCACCUGUGAAGCUGAUGACAUUCCUACGUGGGAGCGACCCCGGAACGAGAUCAAGAACUCUGUCUGCCCGUUGUGACCCGUUUCGUCUUUCGACCACCGAUUCUGCCCGUUCCUGUUUUGCCUGCUCGUCUGUGACCUGGUUCGUUUACCCGACUCCGAUUCUGCCUACUCCCUUUGGUACCUCAGCCUCCAACGAUUACCUGUGUUUCAACCCUGUGCCUGGAUUACUGACUGUGAGUUUUUGCCUGUCCCUCAUGUACCGUUGCCUUUUGUUCUGCUCUCCCGUGUAUGACCUGGCCUGUUUUUUGACCUCCCUUUUGUUUAUUCCUAGUCGUGGUUCCGUUGCGUUUUUCCCGGCUCGGCCACGCUGGUUGCCAGCUGAUUCUACUCACGGCCCAGACGUCAAGCCCCGGACACAGCGUCAUCACAGAUUCACUAAUUAUUGUGUGUUGUGUCUCUUCCCUUGUUAAAGUGUUCAAUAAACACCCUCGAACUCACGUCAGUCUUUUGGUCUUGCAGUUGGGUUCAGCCUCUGUACUAGUCCCAUCACAUGUUCAUGAACUCAGACAGUUCAGAGACGUCACUCCUUCUACAUCCUCACCUGAAGAAAGGGCCUGGACUCAGCUGCUCAACCAACCAUCUCAAGCAGUGUCCCUUACAAUGGUCCAUGCUGACUGUCUCAUCAGUGUUGUGUCUCAGUGGUCUGGUUCUGGUUCUGGCUCGGUCCAUGACUCCUGAGUCUAUCGGACCUCUGGAAUCUGUCAGCGUGGAUCACAAGGCGAAUCGUCUGGUGUGUUUGUGGGGGACAGGGGGUCUACCUACCAGCCUUUUCUCCUGACACCAUACACAGACCCCCAGGAACCACAGCAGACCUACAGUCAUGCCCAUGCCAGGACAAGGAGCAGGAUCCAAACGACCUUUGACCUCCUGAAAGAACGCUUUCACUGUCUGCACCACUUAAGGGUCAGCCCUUUGAGGUCAUGUGACAUCACUGUGGCCUGUACUGUCCUCCACAAAGUGGCCUGAGGAAGGAGAGUUAAAGAGCCAGCCCCCCCCCCCCCCCAAAAAAAAAGUGCAUCACACUCGGACUGGGACAAUCCUGCCAUCUUCCCUGAUGACCGCAGUGGUCAGCUGGUCAGGGACCAAUAUGUGUUCAAUUAUUUGAGUUCACAUGCAUGAUUUCAGUUAAAUAUGUCCUGCAGGGGCAGAGGAAUUUGUGGGGUUUUUUUGUUCAGUUUAAAUUGAUUUGGUUGGUUUUGAUGUUUGUGUUAUUUACUGUAUGUAUGUUUUUUGUUGUUUCUAUUGUUACUAAACUAAAGGCAUUGGUAUUUAUUUUAUUUCAUUUUGUUUUUUGUCUGGUGAUAUGAAUGGGGGGGGGGGGGGGUCGGCAGAAUAAACUUAGGCUUCAACCUAUUCCUUUACAGACUCUUCAGUUUGUUAACAUUGUAUCUGCAUAAAUGUAUGAUGUUUGAAAUGUCUGAAUGAACACAAUUGAACUGAACUGAUGUAAUGAUUGCAAAAUCAUCUAAAAUCAUUUAUGUCAAAUUAUUGAAAUGAAUAAUCUCAAAUGUUUGUAUACUGACAGUGGGUCUAGUUCCUGUGAUUCCAUUGUGUAAUGGGCAGUGAAAUAACUAUUGGUUUCCAUUUGUGGUGACUGUUGACUGAGAUGAGGGAUGAGAUGAAAUAAAUCCUGGAGUUUAGCCUGGUCUGGAGCAGACUAGCUCCACAGAAUAAA